CUACUGGGGAGAAGCUGAAUUAUAAAGUAAUAACGGCUAUUUUUAUUUUGAACAGCAGGGGUCAGUAUUUCCCACAAAUCUUCACGCACUCUAUCUCCACUCCUGGUUUAGAGCACUGUGUAAAAUGGUUCUAUACAGUCUACAAUGUAAACCGCAAACUAUUCAACGGCUUUUUGUCCUGCUGUUCAUAUUAGGCUGCUUCUAUCCCUCCAGCCAUAAUGUUCUGUUAACCUUGUGGGAGCUGCAAUCCACAAGAAGCUGGAGUGCAGAAAGUUGACUAUUCUUUCCCACGAUCCUUUGGGGUUUUUUGUUUUGUUUUUUUUAUUCUGCAUUGUACGAUACUGUUGUAUUAUAGUAACUGAUCUGUGGUGAUGGAGGGUUUGUUUUGAAAUUUUUCUACAUCGGAUUUGUGUUUUAGACCUAAAUCAUCCUAGCAUUUGUUCUUGUUUGAUUGGGUGUACCAAAGCACGCUUCAAAUAUAAAAAUGGCGCUGAAGGCAUCAUUCUUCUGUGCCUUAAAGGGAUCCCAGUCAUAGGUGAAAACUUUGAGUGACUUUCGCUAAAUGAUACCCAAUGGGAUUUUCUAUUUUCUACCUGAUUGUUUUGUUAACCUGUAUUAACAAGGGCUUUAUUCCUUAAAUAGUGAGUUGACAACCAUCUUAUAGGCCAAAAAACAUUUUUCCCGUUAUCUCUGUUACGUUAGUUUACCACUAUUGUAGUCCAACUUCGUUAACUGCAGAUGUUGUGGACUACACCCCUCCUGAUGCUUUGCCAGCAUUAUGGGAGAUGUAGUCCACAGCAUCUGGAGUGCUGAAGGUUGCUUACCCCCCUGGUUUAGCAUGUUGGUUGUCAGCUCACUUUUUUAAGGAAUUCCCCAUAGAUCUCUGCGUUUUUAUAUUUUGACGGUGGAAUGUCUCACUACUGGUGGAAUAAUGCUGGCUAACUCUGUGAGUGAUAUGAACUGUGUUGCUGUAAAAAUAUUUAUUGCUUAUUGGUUUUUAUGAUUUCCAAAAAAUGUACAUAUUAAACAAAGCUGUAAAAACAUAA